rnacentral:misc_RNA from 1 species
AAGUCGUAACAAGGUUUCUGUAGGUGAACCUGCAGAAGGAUCAUUACCUAGAGUUUGUAGGCUUUGCCCGCUACCUCUUACCCAUGUCUUUUAAGUACUUACGUUUCCUCAGCGGGUUCGCCCGCUGACUGGACAAAAUUAAACCCUUUGCAGUUGCAAUCAGCGUCUAAAAAACAUAAUAGUUACAACUUUCAACAACGGAUCUCUUGGUUCUA